AGCCUGAUCCAGCCAUGCCGCGUGUGUGAAGAAGGCCUUCGGGUUGUAAAGCACUUUCAGCGAGGAAGAACGCCUUGGGAUUAAUACUCCCGAGGAAAGACAUCACUCGCAGAAGAAGCACCGGCUAACUCCGUGCCAGCAGCCGCGGUAAUACGGAGGGUGCAAGCGUUAAUCGGAAUUACUGGGCGUAAAGCGCGCGUAGGUGGCUAAGUCAGCCAGGUGUGAAAGCCCCGGGCUCAACCUGGGAACGGCAUCUGGAACUGCUUGGCUAGAGUGCAGGAGAGGAAGGUAGAAUUCCCGGUGUAGCGGUGAAAUGCGUAGAGAUCGGGAGGAAUACCAGUGGCGAAGGCGGCCUUCUGGACUGACACUGACACUGAGGUGCGAAAGCGUGGGUAGCAAACAGGAUUAGAUACCCUGGUAGUCCACGCCGUAAACGAUGUCAACUAGCCGUUGGGUCCCUUGAGGACUUAGUGGCGCAGCUAACGCAAUAAGUUGACCGCCUGGG
rnacentral:rRNA from 2 species